AUUUUAUAUUAAUUAUUAUGGUUAAUCUCUUACUGUACCUAAUUAAACUUUAUCAGAGGUAUAUAUAAAUAGAAAAAAAAAACCUCUAGGAUAUGUAAGGUGAGGUACUAUCUGAUUUCAGGCAUCUUACCUUGGGGUCUCAGAAUGUAUCCCCCAUGGAUGUGGAGGGGCUAUUGGAUUGAGUUUUUGUGAAUCAAAUGCUUAGGUGAAUGAUCAUAUAAUCAUCUAAAUCCUUUUUACUCAAAGCAUGGUGGGAAGACCAGCCAGGCCAGUUAUCACAUGGAGCUUGUUAAAAUGUAUACUCUCAGCCUACUUCCAGACCCCCAGAGUGAGAGUCAGAAGACGAAGAAGACCCUCAGGUGAUUCAAUAUGAACAAUCAAGUGAGAGAAGCACUGAGCUAAAUCACCCUGAAGACAUCAACCAAAUGCAGAGCUUACUGGAUGGUGAUUUUCCUCCAGAUUGUAAAGAAAAGUUGAGCCUCUACUCUACCCCUUGGAAAUUCUAUUAAAGAUGUGUAAAGCAUCCUCAGUGAAAGAAACACAGCUGAAAUGAUUGCAAAUACACGGCGUGGCUCCUGAACUGGAAUUGAUAACUGUGACGUAAACAUUUCUUGACUUCAUCAGACCCGUGUUCUGAAUCUGAGUGUUAGAAAAUGACUCCUAUCUUCAGAAAAUUAAUGUGCCCAGUAUCUGCUCUGAGUCUUUCUUGGAGAGCUGUGAUGAUUGUUUUACAUGACACUUCUGCCACUUUUGCAUUACUCAUCAUCUCUAUAAAUAUGCUGCCUUUUUGCUUUUCAAUAUUUCACGAUAAUAAGGAUCAUCAAGUGUUGAAAAUGUAG
rnacentral:lncRNA from 1 species